rnacentral:sRNA from 1 species
AAUUGAUUAUUCUUCCUUGAAGACUGAUCAACUUGAGAUAGUACUGGGAGCAUUCAAAGUAAUGCCCUCAUCCUGUCAUCUCCUGUGAUCUCUUCCUUCUGUCAAAUUACCUGUCUCAUACAGAUCUCCUGAAUUAAAGGUGGAGUCUGCCAUUCUGUUCCCCAAACCCAAAAUGUUUUCUCCUCCCUCCAACCCCCACCAACCUCUUCACAGGCCUCAGUUGCUUGUAUUACUGAAACUAGAUGAAGACUUACAUGUCAAGCAUCCUCGCCUCCUCACCUUUGCCUCACAGCUCAAAGCAGGAAAAGGUCUCACUAUUGUGGGCUCUGUCAUCGUGGGGAACUUCCUAGAGAACUACGGUGAAGCUUUAGCUGCUGAGCAGACCAUAAAGCACCUAAUGGAGGCAGAGAAGGUAAAAGGAUUCUGCCAGCUGGUGGUGGCCGCCAAGCUGAGAGAGGGCAUUUCCCACCUCAUCCAGUCAUGUGGCCUUGGGGGCAUGAAGCACAACACGGUGGUGAUGGGCUGGCCUAAUGGCUGGCGUCAAAGCGAAGAUGCCCGCGCUUGGAAGACUUUUAUUGGCACAGUUCGAGUGACAACUGCUGCCCAUCUCGCACUGCUGGUGGCUAAAAACAUCUCCUUCUUUCCCAGCAAUGUGGAGCAAUUUUCUGAGGGCAACAUUGAUGUGUGGUGGAUUGUGCAUGAUGGGGGGAUGCUUAUGCUACUACCAUUCCUACUGAAACAGCACAAG